UGAAUGGCAGAGGACGACUAUUUCUAUUCCCAACAAGAUUGAAUUUCACAAGCAGUUGUCCUUGCCUUCUGUUCACAGUCGGGAGGAUUGGCUUGGUACUUGAAGAAGGGUCGCUAUGCUCAGUGAGGCGAAACCAGAGGUCUGGUUUUCAUAGUCGUUGUACUUGAAUACCUAGCUACUGAAUUACUAAACCUUUAGGUUAACCUCAAGUAGGCUGAAUUGGAGUUUCUUGGGAGCUUCUGGUCAAAAAAAGAAGAAAAAGAAGAAAACUUGUCGACUUUAUGCAGAUGGCUGGAAAAAGAGAUACUUGUACACAAAUGGAUUUUAUUUUGCAGAUUUUGAUAAAUGGAAUCAAAGCGGGUUAAAGUAUUGGAUAAUGGCCAUAGAAUCAUUGUUGACGCAAAGAGAAAACGGGCAGCUCAAUGUGCAGCAAAUAUAAUUGAAGCAAGCCACAAGCCUUUGUCAGUUCAGACCAACCAUAAUUCAUUAUUUCCAAAGCUUGGCAAGCAGAAAAGACUGGUUGGAUGCAAAACCAAAUGCGGGGUGCACUUGAGAAAAUCGUUACAUAAGAACUAUUCCAAUUUCAUGAAAAGUGGACUGCCACAACGGUCACUGUUUUAUCAGAAUGGUGACUGGAAUGGUUUUCCUCAUGAUAUUGUUGUGUUGGUUAGCAAAGAUUUUCAAAUGAAAAAUGCGGCAAUUGAAGUGCAGUUCAAGGGCUGCAAUUUAAUGUUUCAUAUCUUGUACAUGAUUCAAGUAGAUUUGAAGACAGGUUCCCAGAAGCCUAUAGCUUGGAUUGAUGAAUCUGGUAGCUGAUUUUUUCCUUAAUUAUACUCUACUAAUGGUGGAAUACAUGAAUACAAUCAAUCUGAGUUAGAAAAAGAUGAAUUCGGGUAUGCGGAGCCAAAUGGGCCCCUGAAAUCAAGUUGCAUCUUCAAAUAGAAGUAAACAGAGUUAAUGGCUUCAAUUUGGAGGAAUGUGUGAAAGAGUCAAAUAUUUGUGCUAAGCGAAUUAAAAUUGAACAAAAAUCUAACAGAAAUAAUGAUGAGCUAGGCAUUGAUGACAAUUAUAAUGAAAAAUCUGUUUCAAAAAUGGACAAGGUUGUUGAGAAAGUUCAACAGAGUGGCAAAAAUUUAUCCUCUAAGUUUGAAUAUGCUUGUGAAACUGUAGAUUUAGAUACUGUGAAAAGCAUGUUCGUUGUGGGCAUGAACCCGUCCUUGAAUGCAAACAUACUUGAAAUUAAUAGAUGCUCUGGUAAUGUGAUGCAAACUCGCUGGGAAAUUUUUCACAAGCAGAUUGAGAUAACUCAAAGGUAUCGUGGGGAUCCAAAUGUUUGGAAUGCUUGGUUCGCUUCUACAAAAGAUGCACUGCUUAGUAUCAUGACCUAUGGGCUUCCACAUUGUGGACUCAAAACUAAGGCCACAUAUGGUUUUGGAGUUCACCUUGCAGCUGUGAAGUGUGCCCUCACCAGUGCAAGUAAUUGUGAUGUUAAUGAAAAUGGAAUACAACACAUGGUGUUUUGCCAUGUCAUACUGGGAAAUAUGGAACUUGUUCAUCUUGGAUCUAGACAAUUUCAUCCCAGUAGUGAAAAUUUUGAUAGUGGAGUUGAUGAUCUGCAAAAUCUGAGUCAUUAUAUUGUUUGGAACAUGAAUAUGAGGACACACAUCUAUCUAGAAUAUGUUGUCAGUUUCAAGACGUCCCACAGUGCUGAAGGUGCUACUUAAUACCAUGGUUAUCAGAAUCCCGAUCUGGAUCUUACGAUCCUACGAUCUUAUGAUCCAUUUGAGUACCAUCGAUCCGGAUCGUGUACAAAACUCCUUAUAGAAGCUCUGGUCGGGAAAGGAAGUCGAUUUGAUGUACCUGGUGUUACUACUUGUCAGGCCAUCAUGGUCAAUUGCAACUAGAUUCAUCUUCAGUUGAAACAAUCCAAAAUGAAGGACAUUAUCUGCAGUUGAAAGCUAAAGAUGCUCUGCUAAAUGCUCUUCUUGUGGCUGCUAAAAGAUUUAGUUUAGGCCCCUCACAGGUGCUUUCUCUUCUUUAUCCUGAUUGGAUCUGCGGGUGCUCUAAUGCUUGAAACAGAUGCAAUUUUUGGGAUAUUUUAUCAAAAAGCUCGACUGAAUGUUAGAUUUUGCUAAUGUAUCUUGUUUUUAUUUUAUUUUAUUUUUGCUUUGUUUUAUUUUGGUGUUGUAUUUAUCAUUUGAAUGAAGUGUUUAUUUAUGUAUUUGUUUUGGGUUACUUGAAGAAGUGUUUGAUUAAAAGUUGGUUACAGCUCUUAACACAAAUCUGUCUUGCACUCUCUACUCUUAUACUUCAUGUUGUCGAGCAUAGUAAACCUAUUGUCCCUAUGGAAAAGUCACUCCUUAUUUUGUUGUUGCUAACCUCUCUCUGUCUCUGGUUCUCACUAAGGUUUGAGCUCCUCAGAUCCCUUACUACCCUACAUGUUAUACCGUACGUCUAAACCAUGGUUUUUAAAAAUGGGCCACAAUGUAACUGUAUGGGUGGUUACCACCAUCCGUUAUGGCCGCUAUAGUGGUGUGACUGAGACACAUAUAUGUUGUCUAAUCUGGAGUUGCCCACUGAAAACCCCACAAAUUUAGUGCUUUUGCUGCUCCUGCACUUAGUUGCUGCUGCUGCAGAGUUGUUUUUGAAGCUGCUGCAAGUUGCCCACUGAAAGCCCCACCAAUUUAGUAGCUUGGACCAUAUCUUCCACACUUUAGAGCACUGUAACAGAACAUGGUUGCUAGAUUCAGCUUCACUUUUA